UACGUAGGGACCAAGCGUUGUUCGGAUUUACUGGGCGUAAAGGGCGCGUAGGCGGCGUGUUAAGUCAGCUGUGAAAUCUCCGAGCUUAACUCGGAACGGUCAGCUGAUACUGAUGUGCUAGAGUGCAGAAGGGGCAAUCGGAAUUCUUGGUGUAGCGGUGAAAUGCGUAGAUAUCAGGAAGAACACCCGUGGCUAAGGCGGCUCUCUAGUACGGUACUGACGCUGAGACGCGAAAGCGUGGGGAGCGAACAGG
rnacentral:rRNA from 1 species